AGUGAACGCUGGCGGUAGGCCUAACACAUGCAAGUCGAACGGCAGCACAGUAAGAGCUUGCUCUUACGGGUGGCGAGUGGCGGACGGGUGAGGAAUACAUCGGAAUCUACUUUUUCGUGGGGGAUAACGUAGGGAAACUUACGCUAAUACCGCAUACGACCUACGGGUGAAAGCAGGGGAUCUUCGGACCUGCCGGGAUUAAUGGACCGAUGUCGGAUUAGCUAGUUGGCGGGGGAAAGGCCCACCAAGGCGACGAUCCGUAGCUGGUCUGAGAGGAUGAUCAGCCACACUGGAACUGAGACACGGUCCAGACUCCUACGGGAGGCAGCAGUGGGGAAUAUUGGACAAUGGGCGCAAGCCUGAUCCAGCCAUACCGCGUGGGUGAAGAAGGCCUUCGGGUUGUAAAGCCCUUUUGUUGGGAAAGAAAAGCAGCAGGUUAAUACCCCGCUGUUCUGACGGUACCCAAAGAAUAAGCACCGGCUAACUUCGUG
rnacentral:rRNA from 1 species